rnacentral:rRNA from 1 species
UCGAACGAGAAAGCCCGCAAGGGCGAGUAAAGUGGCGUACGGGUGAGUAACACGUGGGUAAUCUGCCUUUUGGUGGGGAAUAACCCUGGGAAACCGGGGCUAAUACCGCAUAAGCUCGAAAGAGGAAAAGAGAAAUUUGCCGAAAGAGGAGCCCGCGGCUGAUUAGCUAGUUGGUGAGGUAAAGGCUCACCAAGGCGAAGAUCGGUAGCCGGCCUGAGAGGGCACACGGCCACACUGGCACUGAAACACGGGCCAGACUCCUACGGGAGGCAGCAGUGGGGAAUCUUGCACAAUGGGGGAAACCCUGAUGCAGCGACGCCGCGUGAGCGAUGAAGCCCUUCGGGGUGUAAAGCUCUUUCGGCAGGAACGAUAAUGACGGUACCUGAAGAAGAAGCUGCGGCUAACUACGUGCCAGCAGCCGCGGUAAUACGUAGGCAGCGAGCGUUG